UGGGGAAUUUUGGACAAUGGGCGCAAGCCUGAUCCAGCCAUGCCGCGUGCGGAUGAAGGCCUUCGGUUGUAAACUGCUUUUGUACGGAACGAAAAGACUCUGGUUAAUACCUGGGGUCCAUGACGGUACCGUAAGAAUAAGCACCGGCUAACUACGUGCC
rnacentral:rRNA from 1 species